rnacentral:tRNA from 1 species
ACCUGGGUGGCUCAGUCGGUUAAGCAUCUGACUUCUGCUCAGGUCAUGAUCUCACGGCUUGUGGAUUCGAGCCCCACAUCAGGCU